rnacentral:rRNA from 1 species
GUUGAAGUUUUUUAGGGCACAGGGUGGAUGCCUUGGCAUCAGGAGCCGACGAAGGACGUUGUAGCCUGCGAUAAGCCUCGGGGAGCUGGCAGACGAGCUGUGAUCCGAGGGUUUCCGAAUGGGGGAACCUAGCCGAAGUCAUGUUCGGUUACCUGCAUCUGAAUUCAUAGGGUGUAGGGGGGAACGCCGGGAAGUGAAACAUCUCAGUACCGGCAGGAAGAGAUAUUCGGUGAGUAGUGGUGAGCGAAAGCCGAUGAGGUUAAACCGUGCGCGUGUCAAGUUGUCAGGCGUUGCGUGUGCGGGGUAGUGGGAUCCUCUGGGAGCCUCUGACAGGGUUCCGGCCAGUGAGAAAGUCGCGUUGUAGCCGAACCGGGUUGAAUACCGGACCGUAGAGGGUGGUAGUCCUGUAGGCGAAAUGACGUGGCCUGGUGGAGGGUGUCCCGAGUAGCACGGGGCCCGUGAAAUCUCGUGUGAAUCCGCCAAGACCACUUGGUAAGCCUAAAUACUCCCUGAUGACCGAUAGCGGACCAGUACCGUGAGGGAAAGGUGAAAAGUACCCCGGGAGGGGAGUGAAAUAGUACCUGAAACCGUGUGCCUACAAUCCGUCAGAGCCUCCGCCUCCUUGUGGGGCAUGUAGGGGUGAUGGCGUGCCUUUUGAAGAAUGAGCCUGCGAGUUAGUGCUCGGUGGCGAGGUUAACCCGUGUGGGGUAGCCGUAGCGAAAGCGAGUCCGAAUAGGGCGGUCCAGUCGCCGGGUCUAGACCCGAAGCGGGGUGAUCUAGCCAUGGGCAGGGUGAAGCGCCGGUAAGACGGUGUGGAGGCCCGAACCCACCAGGGUUGAAAACCUGGGGGAUGACCUGUGGUUAGGGGUGAAAGGCCAAUCAAACUCCGUGAUAGCUGGUUCUCCCCGAAAUGCAUUUAGGUGCAGCGUCACGUGUUGCUUGCUGGAGGUAGAGCUACUGGAUGGCCGAUGGGCCCGACAAGGUUACUGACGUCAGCCAAACUCCGAAUGCCGGUAAGUUGAGCGUGGCAGUGAGACUGCGGGGGAUAAGCUCCGUGGGUCGAGAGGGAAACAGCCCAGAUCGCCGGCUAAGGCCCCUAAGCGUGUGCUCAGUGGGAAAGGAUGUGGAGUUGCUCAGACAACCAGGAGGUUGGCUUAGAAGCAGCCACCCUUGAAAGAGUGCGUAAUAGCUCACUGGUCAAGUGAUUCCGCGCCGACAAUGUAGCGGGGCUCAAGCACACCGCCGAAGCCGUGGCAACCACACUUAGCGUGAUAGCUAGCCAUUACAGUCUGUGACUGUCAGUGGUGUGGUUGGGUAGGGGAGCGUCGUACAGCCAUUGAAGUGGCGGGGUGACCCAGCUGUGGAGGCUGUACGAGUGAGAAUGCAGGCAUGAGUAGCGAAUGACGGGUGUGAAUCCCGUCCACCGAAUGACCAAGGGUUCCAGGGCCAGGUUUAUCCGCCCUGGGUAAGUCGGGACCUAAGGCGAGGCCGACAGGCGUAGUCGAUGGACAAGGAGUUGAUAUUCUCCUACCGGCGAAGAACCGUCCAUACCGAGUCCGGUGAUACUAACCAUCCCGAGCUUGCACCACAGUCUUCGGACUGUACCGCAAGGGAGGCGUGGGACCUGAUCCGGUAGUAGGUAAGCGUGUUAACAGGGGUGACGCAGGAAGGUAGCCGCACGUGGCGAUGGUUGUCCACGUCCAAGGUUGUAGCCUGCUCCGUAGGGAAAUCCGCGGGGUGUGAAGGGUGAGGACUGAUGGUGACCACGUAGGUGGGAACGCGGUGAUCCUCUGCUGCCAAGAAAAGCCUCGACGCGAGGUUCUAGCCGCCCGUACCCCAAACCGACUCAGGUGGUCAGGUAGAGAAUACCAAGGUGAUCGAGCGAAUCGUGGUCAAGGAACUCGGCAAAAUGCCCCCGUAACUUCGGGAGAAGGGGGGCCGGAUCCGUGAAGCACCCUUGCGGUGCGUGAGCGGUGAAGGCCGCAGAGACCAGGGAGAAGCGACUGUUUACUAAAAACACAGGUCCGUGCGAAGUCGCAAGACGAUGUAUACGGACUGACGCCUGCCCGGUGCUGGAAGGUUAAGAGGACGGGUCAGCCCUUCGGGGUGAAGCCCAGAAUUUAAGCCCCAGUAAACGGCGGUGGUAACUAUAACCAUCCUAAGGUAGCGAAAUUCCUUGUCGGGUAAGUUCCGACCUGCACGAAUGGCGUAACGACUUCUCCGCUGUCUCGACCGCGAACUCGGCGAAAUUGCACUACGAGUAAAGAUGCUCGUUACGCGCAGCAGGACGGAAAGACCCCGGGACCUUUACUAUAGCUUGGUAUUGGUGUUCGGUGCGGUUUGUGUAGGAUAGGUGGGAGACUGUGAAACUCGGCCGCCAGGUCGGGUGGAGUCGUCGUUGAAAUACCACUCUGAUCGCUUCGGGCAUCUAACCUCGGUCCGUGAUCCGGAUCAGGGACAGUGCCUGGUGGGUAGUUUAACUGGGGCGGUUGCCUCCUAAAAUGUAACGGAGGCGCUCAAAGGUUCCCUCAGCCUGGUUGGCAAUCAGGUGUCGAGUGCAAGUGCACAAGGGAGCUUGACUGUGAGACUGACAGGUCGAGCAGGGACGAAAGUCGGAACUAGUGAUCCUGCCAUGGCUUGUGGAAGCGUGGUGGCUCAACGGAUAAAAGGUACCCCGGGGAUAACAGGCUGAUCUUGCCCAAGAGUCCAUAUCGACGGCAUGGUUUGGCACCUCGAUGUCGGCUCGUCGCAUCCUGGGGCUGGAGUUGGUCCCAAGGGUUGGGCUGUUCGCCCAUUAAAGCGGUACGCGAGCUGGGUUUAGAACGUCGUGAGACAGUUCGGUCCCUAUCCGCUGCGCGCGUAGGAGUCUUGAGAAGGGCUGUCCCUAGUACGAGAGGACCGGGACGGACGAACCUCUGGUGUGCCAGUUGUUCCGCCAGGAGCACGGCUGGUUGGCUACGUUCGGAAGGGAUAACCGCUGAAAGCAUCUAAGCGGGAAGCCUGCUUCAAGAUGAAGACUCCACCACACUUUGUGUGGGAAGGCGCCCAAUAGAUGAUUGGGUUGAUAGGCCGGAGGUGGAAGACCAGUAAUGGUUGGAGCUGACCGGUACUAAUCUGCCGACAACCUCAACAACCAC